rnacentral:rRNA from 1 species
UGGGGAAUUUUGGACAAUGGGCGAAAGCCUGAUCCAGCAAUGCCGCGUGUGCUGAAGAAGGCCUUCGGGUUGUAAAGCACUUUUGUCCGGAAAGAAAUCCUUGGCUCUAAUACAGUCGGGGGAUGACGGUACCGGAAGAAUAAGCACCGGCUAACUACGUGCCAGCAGCCGCGGUAAUACGUAGGGUGCAAGCGUUAAUCGGAAUUACUGGGCGUAAAGCGUGCGCAGGCGGUUUGCUAAGACCGAUGUGAAAUCCCCGGGCUCAACCUGGGAACUGCAUUGGUGACUGGCAGGCUAGAGUAUGGCAGAGGGGGGUAGAAUUCCACGUGUAGCAGUGAAAUGCGUAGAGAUGUGGAGGAAUACCGAUGGCGAAGGCAGCCCCCUGGGCCAAUACUGACGCUCAUGCACGAAAGCGUGGGGAGCAAACAGGAUUAGAUACCCUGGUAGUCCACACCCUAAACGAUGUCAACUAGUUGUUGGGGAUUCAUUUCCUUAGUAACGUAGCUAACGCGUGAAGUUGACCGCCUGGGGAGUACGGUCGCAAGAUUAAAACUCAAAGGAAUUGACGGGGUCAUAGCUGUUUCCU